rfam:Gorilla gorilla gorilla genomic chromosome, chr13, whole genome shotgun sequence
GCCAGGCAUGGUGGCUCAUGCCUGUAAUCCCAGCUACUUGGGAGGCUGAGGCAGGAGAAUUGCUUGAACCCGGGAGAUGAAGGUUGCAGUGAGCCGAGAUCACGCCACUGCACUCCAACCUGGGUGACAGAGCGAGACUCCGUCUCAA